rnacentral:rRNA from 1 species
UACGUAGGGUGCGAGCGUUGUCCGGAAUUAUUGGGCGUAAAGAGCUCGUAGGCGGCUUGUCGCGUCGGAUGUGAAAGCCCGGGGCUUAACUCCGGGUCUGCAUUCGAUACGGGCAGGCUAGAGUUCGGUAGGGGAGAUCGGAAUUCCUGGUGUAGCGGUGAAAUGCGUAGAUAUCAAGAGGAACACCUGAGGUGAAGACGGGUUGCUGGGCUGACACUGACGCUGAGGCGCGAAAGCCAGGGGAGCAAACGGG